rnacentral:piRNA from 2 species
UUGUGUUUGAUUUAAACCCAUAGGGCCU